GUUAAAAUCUAAGACGAGGUAGAUGGUGAAAUUAAUCUCAGAAUUCUCCAAAAGGAGGAGAUAAAUUGAAGAAGGGGUAUUCCUUACUCAUUUCAUACUGGAUUGUUCUGACUUUUGAUUUUUUUGCUUGUAGAGUAAAAUGCAACUGUUAUUAGAUUCACAUGACUACAUGGAUGCUGUGACACAGAAAGCAAAAGCAAAUUGAAGCAGUGUUUGAUGAAUAAUUAAUUACCUUGAUUUCUGAAGCAGGAUUCAU
rnacentral:misc_RNA from 1 species